AUCUAGCCCCGAUGGAAGCGGUAUCCUUUUAUGGUGGGGUUCGCCAUAAAAGAUUUAGUGUACAGCGGGACUACUG
rnacentral:sRNA from 2 species